GACGAACGCUGGCGGCGUGCUUAACACAUGCAAGUCGAACGAGGGGCGAACGGGUGAGUAAUACGUGGGUAACCUGCCCUCUCUUUGGGAUAAGCCUUGGAAACGGGGUCUAAUACCGAAUAAAGGGGGAUGGGCUCGCGGCCUAUCAGCUGGUUGGGGGGGUGAUGGCCUACCAAGGCGGUGACGGGUAGCCGGCCUGAGAGGGUGACUGGGAACAUUGCGACUGCGAGACGGCCCAGGGGCCUACGGGAGGCAGCAGUGGGGGAUAUUGCACAAUGCGGGAAAGCCUAAGGCAGGGACGCGACGUAGGUGAUGAGGGCGUGAGGGUUGUUAACCUGUUACGCUAUCGAACGGGUAGGUGGAGAAGAAGCGCCGGCUAACUACGUGCCAGCAGCCGCGGUAAUUC
rnacentral:rRNA from 1 species